rnacentral:rRNA from 1 species
AUUGAACGCUGGCGGCAUGCUUUACACAUGCAAGUCGGACGGCAGCACAGAGGAGCUUGCUUCUUGGGUGGCGAGUGGCGAACGGGUGAGUAACGCAUCGGAACGUAUCGAGUAAUGGGGGAUAACUGUCCGAAAGGACAGCUAAUACCGCAUACGCCCUGAGGGGGAAAGCGGGGGAUCUUAGGACCUCGCGUUAUUCGAGCGGCCGAUGUCUGAUUAGCUGGUUGGCGGGGUAAAGGCCCACCAAGGCGACGAUCAGUAGCGGGUCUGAGAGGAUGAUCCGCCACACUGGGACUGAGACACGGCCCAGACUCCUACGGGAGGCAGCAGUGGGGAAUUUUGGACAAUGGGCGCAAGCCUGAUCCAGCCAUGCCGCGUGUCUGAAGAAGGCCUUCGGGUUGUAAAGGACUUUUGUCAGGGAAGAAAAGGGGCAUGUUAAUACCGUGCUCUGAUGACGGUACCUGAAGAAUAAGCACCGGCUAACUACGUG